GACGAACGCUGGCGGCGUGCUUAACACAUGCAAGUCGAGCGGAAAGGCCCUUUCGGGGGUACUCGAGCGGCGAACGGGUGAGUAACACGUGAGUAAUCUGCCUCUGGCUUCGGGAUAGCCACCGGAAACGGUGAUUAAUACCGGAUAUGACAUCUUCACGCAUGUGAUGGGUGUGGAAAGUUUUUUCGGCCAGGGAUGUGCUCGCGGCCUAUCAGCUUGUUGGUGGGGUAAUGGCCUACCAAGGCUUCGACGGGUAGCCGGCCUGAGAGGGUGACCGGCCGCACUGGGACUGAGACACGGCCCAGACUCCUACGGGAGGCAGCAGUGGGGAAUAUUGGACAAUGGGCGGAAGCCUGAUCCAGCAACGCCGCGUGAGGGAUGACGGCCUUCGGGUUGUAAACCUCUUUCAGCACAGACGAAGCGCAAGUGACGGUAUGUGCAGAAGAAGGACCGGCCAACUACGUGCCAGCCGCCGCGGUAAGAC
rnacentral:rRNA from 1 species